rnacentral:rRNA from 1 species
AUUGAACGCUGGCGGCAGGCCUAAUACAUGCAAGUCGAGCGAUAACAGGAGGAACUUUCCUUCUUUACUUACGAGUGGGGGGGGGGUGAGAAAUGUGGGUAACCCUCCCUUAUGGAGGGGGAUAAUUCCGGAAACCGGUACCAAAUCCGGCAUAACGUUUCAACACCAAAAUGCAGGACUUACGGGCGUCUUGCCAUCCGAUUUUCCCAGAUCGGAUUAGCUAGUAGGUGGGGUAACGGCUUACCUAGGCCACGAUCCGUAGCUGAUCUGAGAGGGUGACCAGCCACACUGGAACUGAGACACGGUCCAGACUCCUACGGGAGGCAGCAGUAGGGAAUCUUGCGCAAUGGGCGAAAGCCUGACGGAGCAACGCCGCGUGAAUGAUGAAGGUCUUCGGAUCGUAAAACUCUGUUAGUAGGGAAGAAGAAAUGUGUAAGUAACUAUGCACGUCUUGACGGUACCUAAUCAGAAAGCCACGGCUAACUACGUG